GACGAACGCUGGCGGCGUGCUUAACACAUGCAAGUCGAACGGAAAGGCCCUGCUUUUGUGGGGUGCUCGAGUGGCGAACGGGUGAGUAACACGUGAGUAACCUGCUCUUGUCUUUGGGAUAACUUCAGGAAACUGGGGCUAAUACCGGAUAGGAGCCCCUGCUGCAUGGUGGGGGUUGGAAAGUUUCGGCGGUUGGGGAUGGACUCGCGGCUUAUGAGCUAGUUGGUGGGGUAGUGGCUUACCAAGGCUUUGACGGGUAGCCGGCCUGGGAGGGUGACCGGCCACAAUGGGACUGAGAUACGGCCCAGACGCCUACGGGAGGCAGCAGGCGGGAAUAUUGCACAAUGGGCGGAAGCCUGAUGCAGCAACGCCGCGUGCGGGAUGACGGCCUUCGGGUUGUAAACCGCUGUCGCCUGUGACGAAGCGUGAGUGACGGUAAUGGGUAAAGAAGCACCGGCUAACUACGUG
rnacentral:rRNA from 1 species